rnacentral:lncRNA from 1 species
UUUUUUUAUUUUUGUUGCAAUUUUUUUCGAUUUUACUGUUCACCACGGACUAAAACCGCCCGAAGCGGCACGAGGGACGAAAACUAUCUGGUUUUGAUAGUUGAGAGACGAAAAUUCUCCGGUUUAGAGUUGAGGGACGAUUUCUAAACUCUGGAAAGAGUUCGAGGACAAAAAAUAUACUUAUCCCAUAAAUAAAAUAAAUGAAAGUAGAAAGAAUAGAUGUGUGGCGAUCGAUGCACUCACCGCCUUUCACUCCGAAGGUGUUGCCGCACCCUGUGCACUGGCACUUGUCGCUGCACCCGACGCCGUGCUUUGAUUCGAGACAGCCGCAAAUCGAGCAUGAGAUCGAGCACCGGCAGCACAUGUAGUCAUGCAAGGCAAAACAAAUAAAAGCAGAGGAGACGUGUGUAUGUACGUACCUUGAAGCACUCGCAGUAGAGCUUCUUGCAUUCAGAACUGCGGCAGUUGCAUCCCUUGACGUGCACCCCUGCUGCUUCCUGCUGCUGCUGUUGCAGCCCAGGCCCAUCGCUGGCGAUGAUCUUGGGCUUGAAGGCGUCGGGCUUCUUCUUCAUGAUGCACUCUGCGCGCUCAUCCACCUCGUCGGAGUUGUCCUCUGUGUUGCGGCAGCCCAGGCAGGAGCACCCCUCGUCGCAGAACACCCAGGCCUCGAAGCAAUGGCAGUAGCUGCAUGCAUGUGAAUGCGGUUUCGGUGAGGAGGACCGUAAGAGCACGGCGGCGGCGGCGCCAGUGGCUUACUUAGCGCUGGAGGCACUGGGUCUUCUCGCAGGUGCAGUGCGGCAAAUCGUCCAUGGCGGCCAAGGAAGAAGGGUCAGAGGGGAGAAGACGGGGUAGGAGGCAGAUCUGUUCGAGACUGAUGCACGGAGUCUCCGAGGAACAAAGAUGUCCUAUACAAUACAACUGCAGACACAGAGUCCAUGCAAUUCUAGUCAAGUUGAUCCAGCGUGACAUCGAAAGGUCAUCAAAUUGCACCAAAAGUUUUAUUAAUUUUUCCAGUAUAUGAUGAGCUCCAACCUCAUGGAAACAUGUCCCAUUUUCUUUUUCAUUUCUCUCUCCAAGAAAGUACCACCUGAUCUCAAAAUUCAUGUAUUUUUUUAUGUGCAACAUCUUCUAACAGUUCAUAUACUUUUCGACUACUCCCUUCGUUUCUAAAUAUAAGACUUUUUGGAGAUUUCAAUACGAAGUACUCCCUUCAUUCCAAAAUACUUGACUCCCAUUUGUCCAAAAAUGGAUGUACCUAUAUACUAAAACAUGUCUAGAUACAUCUAUAUUUUGACAAAUGAAAGGCAUGUAUUGUGGAACGGAGGGAGUACAUACAGAUGUAUAUAGACACAUUUUAUUUUCAUUCAAUUUGUCCAUAUGUAGUCUGUAUUGGUAACAAUAGCCCAUCUUCAUUGCUCCUCCUCUUCAUAUUAUUGCCAUAACUUACCAAUUCGAUUUUUCUUCUUUUGAAAUUUCACUCCGCUCGGCAUAGUAGUAGCGCAGGAGUAGAUGGCAUUUGACAAGGAUGUUGAAAAUAGAACUCACCCCAGGGCUUGAGUUGGUGGACCAAGAUCAACAUCCAUGUGACUCAAUUCGCUGAGGAUGUGGAUAUCAUCCAUGAUGCUUGUUUCUGUCAACUGAGAAGCCAUGUCGUCGUUGAUUAUUGCGGACGAUCCAUUCGAACGGGCAAGUGUUUCACCGGAGCCGCCAGAUGUUCCUUCAGGACUGUCACUAUGUGCUUGUUGAGCCGCGGGAAAUUGAUCAUGCAAGAGCACGACUGAGCAUAAAUGUAUAAAUGCUAUAAAUAAAGGGAUAAGUAUAUUUUUGUCCUCGAACUAUUCCGAGAGUUUAGAAAUCGUCCCUCAACUCUAAACCGGAGAGUUUUCGUCCCUCAACUAUCAAAACCGGAUAGUUUUCGUCCCUCGUGCCGCUUCGGGCGGUUUUAGUCCGGGAUGAACAGUAAAUCAGUGAGCAAUAAAAUCGAAAAAAUAGCAAAAAAUAAAUAUAAAAAAAUCUGAAAUUUUACAGCAUCGAAGAUAAUCUGGUGCGCAAGACCCGUGCAAAAUAUCGUGGUGUUUCGAAAUUCAAGCGGCUCGUGGUAAACAAAAAAAUUUAAAUAUGUACGUCGGUGAACAGUAAAUUAAAAAAUUCAAAAAAACAUGAAACAUUUUGGCAUCAAAGAUGCUCAGGUACGCAAGAUGCAUGCAAAAUUUUGUGAUCAAAUGACAUACGAGGAGCUCUAGCCAAAAAAACAAAAAAAAUAGCACACUUUUUAAAAAAAAAAUAUAAGCCAAAUUUUGUUUCUUUUUGUCACGAGUUUGUACAAUACCCAAACAUCACGAAAAUUUGCACGCACGUUGAGCACCCAAGCCUCUUUUAUGCCAAAAAAAAAUUCAUACGACUUUGAAUUUUUUUUCUAUUUAUUUUGAAUUUACUGUUGACUGGCGUAAAAAUUUAUAGUUUUUUGUUUGCCACGAGCUGCUCGAAUAUCAAAACACCACAAAAUUUUGCACGUGUCUUGCGCGCCAAAGUAUCUUCGAUGCUCUAAAAUUUCAGAUUUUUUUAUUUUUGUUGCUAUUUUUUUCGAUUUUACUAUUCAGCCCGGACUAAAACCACCCGAAGCGGCACGAGGGACAAAAACUAUCUGGUUUUGAUAGUUGAGGGACGAAAAUUCUGCGGUUUAGAGUUAAGGGACAAUUUCUAAACUCUGGGAAGAGUUCGAGGACGAAAAAUAUACUUAUCCCAUAAAAAAAUAAAUGAAAGUAGAAAGAAUAGAUGUGGCAGGGACUGGCUGGCCUAGCUGCAUGCACGCACGUACUGCCAUUUUGGUGCAUGGAGGCUUGGUACCAUGUAAAGAAAGUCAUUUGUAUGUAUGUAUUCAUGAUAGGACGAGCCGUAGAGCUUGAUAGAAUUACUCGAUCAUCUUGUGACUAUAUGCACAGAAGAAGUGUUAAUUAGUGAGUUUUUUCUUGGCGAAGUGGAGGUGUCAGAGUAGCGUGACAUCGAAAUGUCAUCAAAUUGCACCAAAAGUUUUAUUAAUUUUUCCAGUAUAUGAUGAGCUGUAACCUCAUGGAAACAUGUCCCAUUUUCUUUUUCAUUUCUCUUUCCAAGAAAGUACCACCUGAUCCCAAAAUUCAUAUUUUUUUUAUGUGCAACAUCUUCUAACAGUUCAUAUGCUUUUCGACUACUCCCUUCGUUUCUAAAUAUAAGACUUUUUGGAGAUUUCAAUAGGGAGUACUCCCUCCGUUCCAAAAUACUUGACUUCCAUUUGUCCAAAAAUGGAUGUACCUAUAUACUAAAACAUGUCUAGAUACAUCUAUAUUUUGACAAAUGAAAGGCAUGUAUUAUGGAACGGAGGGAGUACAUACAGAUGUAUAUAGACAUGUUUUAUUUUCAUUCAAUUUGCUCCAUAUGUAGUCUGUAUUGGUAACAAUAGCCCAUCUUCAUUGCUCCUCCUCUUCAUAUUAUUGCCAUACCUUACCAACUUGAUUUUUUUUUCUUUUGAAAUUUCACUCCGCUCGGCAUAGCAGUAGCGCAGGAGUAGAUGGCAUUUGACAAGGAUGUUGAAAAUAGAACUCACCCCAGGGCUUGAGUUGGUGGACCAAGAUCAACAUCCAUGUGACUCAAUUCGUUGGGGAUGUGGUUAUCAUCCAUGAUGCUUGGUUCUGUCAACUGAGAAGCCAUGUCGUCGUUGAUGAUUGCGGACGAUCCAUUCAAACGGGCUAGUGUUUCACCGGAGCCGCCAGAUGUUCCUUCAGGACUGUCACUAUGUGCUUGUUGAGCCGCUGGCAAUUAAUCAUGCAAGAACACGACUGAGCAUAAAUGUAUAAAUGCUAUAAAUAAAGGGAUAAGUAUAUUUUUCGUCCUCGAACUCUUCCGAGAGUUUAGAAAUCAUCCCUCAAACUCUAAGCCGGAGAGGUUUCGUCCCUCAACUAUCAAAACUGGAUAGUUUUCGUCCCUCGUGCCGCUGCGGGCGGUUUUAGUCCGGCAUGAACAGUAAAUCAGUGAACAAUAAAAUCGAAAAAAUAGCAAAAAAUAAAUAUAAAAAAUUCUAAAAUUUUACAGCAUCGAAGAUAAUCUGGUGCGCAGGACCCGUGCAAAAUUUCAUGGUGUUUCGACAUUCAAGCAGCUCGUGGCAAACAAAAAACUUUAAGUAUGUACGUCGGUGAACAGUAAAUUAAAAAAAUAGCAAAAAAAUCAAAAAACAUGAAACAUUUUGGCAUCAAAGAUGCCUAGGUACGCAAGAUGCUUGCAAAAUUUUGUGACCAAAUGACAUACGAGGAGCUUUAGCCAAAAAAACAAAAACAAAACUAGCGCACUUUUUUAAAAAAAAAUCUGAGCCAAAUUUUGUUUCUUUUUGUCACGAGUUCGUACAAUACCCAAACAUCGCGAAAAUUUGCAAGCACGUUGAGCACCCAAGCCUCUUUUAUGCCAAAAAAUUCAUACCGCUUUGAAUUUUUUUGCUAUUUAUUUUGAAUUUACUGUUCACUGAUGUACAAAUUUAUAGUUUUUUGUUUGCCACGAGCUGCUCGAAUAUCAAAACACCACAAAAUUUUGCACGUGUCUUGCGCACCAAAGUAUCUUCGAUGCUCUAAAAUUUCACAUUUUUUUUUAAUUUUUGUUGCUAUUUUUUCGAUUUUACUGUUCACCACGGACUAAAACCGCCCGAAGCGGCACGAGGGACGAAAACUAUCUGGUUUUGAUAGUUGAGGGACAAAAAUUCUCCGGUUUAGAGAUAAGGGACGAUUUCUAAACUCUGAGAAGAGUUCGAGGACGAAAAAUAUAUACUUAACCCAUAAAUAAAAUAAAUGAAAGUAGAAAGAAUAGAUGUGUGGCGAUCGAUGCACUCACCGCCUUUCACUCCGAAGGUGUUGCCGCACCCUGUGCACUGGCACUUGUCACUGCACCCGACGCCGUGCUUUGAUUCGAGACAGCCGCAAAUCGAGCAUGAGAUCGAGCACCGGCAGCACAUGAAGUCAUGCAAGGCAAAACAAAUAAAAGCAGAGGAGACGUGAGUAUGUACGUACCUUGAAGCACUCGUAGUAGAGCUUCUUGCAUUCAGAAUUGCCGCAGUUGCAUCCCUUGACGUGCACCCCUGCUGCUUGCUGCUGCUGCUGUUGCAGCCCAGGCCCAUCGCCGGUGAUGAUCUUGGGCUUGAAGGCGUCGGGCUUCUUCUUCAUGAUGCACUCUGCGCGCUCAUCCACCUCGUCGGAGUUGUCCUCUGUGUUGCGGCAGCCCAGGCAAGAGCACCCCUCGUCGCAGAACACCCAGGCCUCGAAGCAAUGGCAGUAGCUGCAUGCAUGUGAUUGCGGUUUCGGUGAGGAGGACCGUAAGAGCACGUCGGCGGCGUCUCCAGUGGCUUACUUACCGUUGGAGGCACCGGGUCUUAUCGCAGGUGCAGUGCAGCAAAUCGUCCAUGGCGACCAAGGAAGAAGGGUCAGAGGGGAGAAGACGGGGUAGGAGGCAGAUCUGUUCGAGUCUGAUGCACGGAGUCUCCAAGGAACAAAGAUGUCCUAUACAAUACAACUGCAGACACAGAGUCCAUGCAAUUCUAGUCAAGUUGAUGCAGCGUGACAUCGAAAGGUCAUCGAAAUGCACCAAAAGUUUUAUUAAUUCUUCCACUAUAUGAUGAGCUCUAACCUCAUGGAAACAUGUCCCAUUUUAUUUUUCAUUUCUCUCUCCAAGAAAGUACCACCUGAUCUCGAAAUUCAUGUAUUUUUUUUAUGUGCAACAUCUUCUAACUGUUCAUAUACUUUUCGACUACUCCCUUAGUUUCUAAAUACAAGACUUUUAGGAGAUUUCAAUACUGAGUACUCUGUCCGUUCCAAGAUACUUGACUUCCAUUUGUCCAAAAAUGGAUGUACCUAUAUACUAAAACAUGUCUAGAUACAUCUAUAUUUUGACAAAUGAAAGGCAUGUAUUAUGGAACGGAGAGAGUACAUACAGAUGUAUAUAGACACAUUUUAUUUUCAUUCAAUUUGCUCCAUAUGUAGUCUGUAUUGGUAACAAUAGCCCAUCUUCAUUGCUCCUCCUCUUCAUAUUAUUGCCAUAACUUACCAAUUCGAUUUUUUUUUCUUUUGAAAUUUCACUCUGCUCGGCAUAGCAGUAGCGCAGGAGUAGAUGGCAUUUGACAAGGAUGUUGAAAAUAGAACUCACCCCAGGGCUUGAGUUGGUGGACCAAGAUCAACAUCCAUGUGACUCAAUUCGCUGGGGAUGUGGGUAUCAUCCAUGAUGCUUGUUUCUAUCAAUUGAGAAGCCAUGGCGUCGUUGCUGAUUGCGGACGAUCCAUUCGAACGGGCAAGUGUUUCACCGGAGCCGCCAGAUGUUCCUUCAGGACUGUCACUAUGUGCUUGUUGAGCCACUGGAAAUUGAUCAUGCAAGAGCACGACUGAGCAUAAAUGUAUAAAUGCUAUAAAUAAAGGGAUAAGUAUAUUUUUCGUCCUCGAACUCUUCCGAGAGUUUAGAAAUCGUCCCUCAACUCUAAACCGGAGAGUUUUCGUCCCUCAACUAUCAGAACCGGAUAGUUUUCAUCCCUCAUGCCGCUUCGGGCGGUUUUAGUCCGGGAUGAACAGUAAAUCAAUGAACAAUAAAAUCGAAAAAUAUUAAAAAAUAAAUUAAAGAAGCCUGAAAUUUUACAGCAUCGAAGAUAAUCUGGUGCGCAAGACCCGUGCAAAAUUUCGUGGUGUUUCGACAUUCAAGCAGCUCGUGACAAACAAAAACCUGUAAAUAUGUACGUCGGUGAACAGUAAAUUCAAAAAAUAGCAAAAAAAUUCAAAAAAACAUGAAACAUUUUGGCAUCAAAGAUGCUCAGGUACGCAAGAUGCAUGCAAAAUUUUGUAAUCAAAUGACAUACGAGGAGCUCUAGCCAAAAAACCAAAAUAGCGCACUUUAAAAAAAAAUCUGAGCCAGAUUUUCUUUCUUUUAGUCACGGGUUCGUACAAUACCCAAACAUCACGAAAGUUUGCACGCACGUUGGGCACACAAGCCUCUUUUAUGCCAAAAAAAUUUCAUACCGCUUUGAAUUUUUUCUAUUUAUUUUGAAUUUACUGUUCACUGACGUACAAAUUUAUAGUUUUUUGUUUGCCACGAGCUGCUCGAAUAUCAAAACACCACAAAAUUUUGCACGUGUCUUGCGCACCAAAGUAUCUUCGAUGCUCUAAAAUUUCAGAUUUUUUUAUUUUUGUUGCUAUUUUUUCGAUUUUACUGUUCACCCCGGACUAAAACCGCCCGAAGCGGCACGAGGGACGAAAACUAUCUGGUUUUGAUAGUUGAGGGACGAAAAUUCUGCGGUUUAGAGUUGAGGGAUGAUUUCUAAACUCUGGGAAGAGUUUGAGGACGAAAAAUAUACUUAUCCCAUAAAUAAAAUAAAUGAAAGUAGAAAGAAUAGAUGUGUGGCGAUCGAUGCACUCACCGCCUUUCACUCCAAAGGUGUUGCCGCACCCUGUGCACUGGCACUUGUCGUUGCACCCGACGCCGCGCUUUGGUUCGAGACAGCCGCAAAUCGAGCAUGAGAUCGAGCACUCGCAGCACAUGAAGUCCUGCAAGGCAAAACAAAUAAAAGCAGAGGAGACGUGAGUAUGUACGUACCUUGAAGUACUCGCAGUAGAGCUUCUUGCAUUCAGAAUUGCAGCAGUUGCAUCCCUUGACGUGCACCCCUGCUGCUUGCUGCUGCUGCUGUUGCAGCCCAGGCCCAUCGCCGGCGAUGAUCUGGGGCUUGAAGGCGUCGGGCUUCUUCUUCAUGAUGCACUCUGCGCGCUCAUCCACCUCGUCGGAGUUGUCCUCUGUGUUGCGGCAGCCCAGGCAGGAGCACCCCUCGUCGCAGAACACCCAGGCCUCGAAGAAAUGGCAGUAGCUGCAUGCAUGUGAAUGCGGUUUCGGUGAGGAGGACCGUAAGAGCACGUCGGCGGCGGCGCCAGUGGCUUACUUACCGUUGGAGGCACUGGGUCUUCUCACAACUGAAGUGCGGCAAAUCGUCCAUGGUGGCCAAGGAAGAAGGGUCAUAGGGGAGAAGACGGGGUAGGAGGCAGAUCUGUUCGAGUCUGAUGCACGGAGUCUCCGAGGAACAAAGAUGUCCUAUACAAUACAACUGCAGACACAGAGUCCAUGCAAUUCCAGUCAAGUUGAUGCAGCGUGACAUCGAAAGGUCAUCGAAUUGCACCAAAAGUUUUAUUAAUUUUUCCACUAUAUGAUGAGCUUUAACCUCAUGGAAGUACCACCUGAUCUCAAAAUACUUGACUUCCAUUUGUCCAAAAAUGGAUAUACCUAUAUACUAAAACAUGUCUAGAUACAUCUAUAUUUUGACAAAUGAAAGGCAUGUAUUGUGGAACGGAGGGAGUACAUACAGAUGUAUAUAGACACAUUUUAUUUUCAUUCAAUUUGCUCCCUAUGUAGUCUGUAUUGGAAUCUAUAAAAAGGUUAUAUUUAGGAACGGAGGAGGUAGAAUUUAACAUGCCAUCUUGUUGAGAGCAUUUAUUUAGUAAACCAAAGAGGCGAUGGUGGUUCUUGAGUUGCAUCUCUUAGUUGAAAUGAAAUUAGAGAGCAUUUACAUGAUCAUGCAACAACGUAGGACACAUGCUUCGGCUGAUGAUCAUAUUCAUCCACAGGUCAUGUAACCUAGAUAUAUAUUGGCUGAUGCUCAGAUUUUAUAUUUGAAGAGACCCACGCAUAACAGUCAAUCAGAUUUGCUCAAGUACAAACUGCCACAUUAACUGAUUUAUGAUGUGCAGAAAGUAAUGCUGGUAAAUAUUGGGGAAGAGUUGUUGAAGGUUAAUAACAAAGUGAGGUUUAUUGGGUCAGUUAUUUCCGGGGAUGUUAGAAUAAAUCCGAGGCAUACCGUCGAUCAUCCGAGGACCAAGCAAUCACACGAGCACGACACCGAGAUUUGUUAACGAGGUUCAUCGAUAUGGCUACAUCCCCGGACCUGACUAUGGGCGCUCCUCCCCAUGACACCGCUACAAUACCGCACCCGGUCGCCCUGGACGCCGGCACAUGCCGCCGGCUUCCCCUACGUUCCGGUGCUAUUAUGUUGGCAUAGGUUACAUCGUGUGUCUAUCCCUAUAUAUGAGAGGCCUAGGAUACAAGUGUCCUACUAGGACACGACUCCAUAUCCUAUGUAAACACAAUACUACUCAGAGUCCAACUGUAACCUACCUUGUACACAAUAUUCGACACAACUCUAACAAACUCCACCUUGGCGAAUAUUCUCCACCACCUUGAAUUCGUCAAUGCGUCAAACUUCCAUGUACAUUGGACUUGAGCUUAUCCCAUGAGUACCGCUGCUACUCCAAAGACUCCAUAUGACUCCACCUGCAACUUGUAGUUCCUUCUUUUCUUGACCACAGUCAACACUCGAGCAAAGUUAAGUUCCUAUUACUCUAGUUUGCGCUCCCAACUUCCAGAGUAUCAGUCCAACGCCAUCACACACUGACCACUGACCUGCGUGAAAGUGAACAACUCACAUAUUGGGUGUUACACAUAAGAGUUACUUGAACUCAACAUCAUCGCUCGACCGCCUGUCUGAAACUUGUAGGAAUUUCACCGUUGCUUGUAGUCAUCCCGAGUCAGCACACAAUGCAAAUCUGAUUUGAAGAGACCCUAGCAUAUUCAUAGGCGGGUGAAAGCAAAGAGGAACAUGCACACAAUGCAAUCUAUUUUUGACCCAAAAACAAAUGGGUUACAUGAUCUACAACUCCUUGGACGAUCUAGAAAGACAUGGCAGAUAAUACAAGCCAAACAAUAAAUGUUAAGAUACAUCAACCAAACAUUUCAUGGUCAUGCGGCAACGAAGGUCACAUGCUUCAGCUGAUGAUUCAAAUUCAUCCACAUGUAACCUACAUAGGCAACUCGGGUGAAAGAGUCAAUCGCCACUAGCAACUCAUCUAGAUAGUGUAUCUGCUUCUUUAGCUUCUCGCCAUGCUCAGGCAGCCUCGACACCAGCGUCAGCGACAAUUGGUUCUAUUCAACAAGUCAUAUUAUGUGUGUAUCUCCAGGUGGCCUGAGCAUAUCAAUUGGAUCCUUGUUGCACACAAAGCGGGCAUAACUAUUAGACAUGGUGGCGGCAUGGUGCACCACCAGUCAGGCUCGCAGCCGUUGACCCACAACGUGAGGUUGCAGUUCUUGUUGGGCUUGACAUAGUUCUUGCAGCUGGCAUCGAGGAUGCUCUCGAAGUUCUCGCGGCCCGUUGGUUUUUGCCUUCGUUUUGUCAGGGCUCCCAAGAUUUUCGCCUAGAUUUCUUCGGGGAUCUCUUCCUGUACUGCCUGGCCAUCAUGUGCAUUGGUUGGCUCCUUGCUGCACAUACAACCAGCAAAACAGCCAUAACUAUUAGACAUUCACCCCUGCAACAUGACUAGCUCAGGAGAAACUACCAAACAUGCAAUGAAAUAACAAACUUAUUUUAAGCCUAGAAAUAUCAAAUCAACACAAUCAGUACAUAGUAAAACAAUAGAGAGGGUUUAUCAGGCAAUAAGAUAGCCAUACCCAUAAUGAUCCAAAGUAUUAAGAUAGCCAGGAGAGAGCUUACCAACAAACCCAAAACAAACAAUGCAAGUGAGAUUUAGUUUUGGUAAAUAACGGACACAAGCAGUAGACUAGUAACCAAUGGGACACCAUCUAAUCUGGUUGAAUUCUUUUUAUUCCCUGUCCUUGAUCUUCAAAUUGUUAGGCCAUAGGUGCUAGCUCUCAUCCAUGACUCUCGUACUAUUUUCCUCUCUCACACACACAUGGGCAAAAGGAACUCUACUGUCAAGUGUCAAUGCACAUUCUGUAGGGCGAUGUGAAAGUAGUACUCCCUCUAUUUGUAAAUAUAAAACCUUUUAGAGAUUUCAAUACGGACUACAUACACUCAUUUUGCCCCGUAUGUAGUCUGUAUUGGAAUCUGUAAAAGGCCUUAUAUUUAGGAACGGAGGGAGUAUGAAGCAAAAUCAUCAGGAGGGAACCCAUUUCAGGCCAGGCCCUGAAAGCAAGUGUGGGUUACCUCGCAAAGACAAAUAUACUAGUACUACAUAAGACAGCGGCAGGAGCGAUGAGCAGUAAAAAAAAUGCCAAGGAUCAGCAAUAGAAUCAAAGUCACUAUCAAAACAAGAGAUAAGUCCUAGCGUUCCACACCAUACAACAAAAAAAACAAGAAGAGCAGGGCAUCAUCAACAGUUCUAAGUGUAGCCAAGCUAUCAGCAGUUAGCAGACCAUCAUUAACACGCAUCCAAAGGCUAGCCUAGCAGUAGGGGGGCUUUGAUCUAUGAUCCUGCACCAAUGUUUUUAGAUCGGUCAGCAGGAUAAUUUUUCACCCAGGUCCCCGGAAGACAGACAUUGAGACCCCUGAGGUUCAAAAACCCCAUACCACCAAAAUCGUUUCUCAGGUAGAUAUAGCAAGAUGGUAUUAAUUUAUACAACCAUCAAGUUAAUGUCUACAACCAUCACUGAGUUAGAUGGAUCUUCAACCUGAGCUAGGCGGCGGUGCACAAGCACUGUGGCAAGUCCCCUGCACCAUGUCAGAUAGAUUAAUGUGUGGGCCAUGAACCAGAAUCAUUCAGAAACAUGACAAGGAAAAUUGCUCACGCCCCUUGAUGGACCAUUGCUGUAAUUUAUCCAAAAUGAUGGUCGUUUCGAUUUAUUCAAACAGUAAACUAACUGACUAACAUGGUGUGUCCUAUUUUAUCUUGUUGAUGAAUGAAACAACCCUUCCAUCGAUUAGUUCAACCAUGAUGAAUAAUUGGGCAGGACAAACAAAACAGUAACUCCCUAACAAAACAGCCCCUUCCCUUAUUAAAGGAAAUUCGCCCAUAUUAAUGGAAAUUGUGUGAUUGUUUCAAUUUAUCUCCAGGUGGCCUUGAGCAUAUCAAUUUGCAUAUUUGCAGGAGAAUUACCAGGUUCGGAAGGGUUGGCAGCAGUUUGAUUUUCACCUUCAUUUCACCGAGAUUUCUUCAGGGCUUGCUACACAUACUGCCAGUCCAUCAUAGGCAUGGUUGCAUCCUUGCUGCACACACAACGGGCAUAACUAUUAUACAGGGUUGUGGCAUGGUGCACCCCCAGUCAGGCUCGCAGCCGUUGACCCAUAACGUGAGGUUGCAGUUCUUGUUGGGCUUGACGUAGUUCUUGCAGCUGGCAUCGAGGAUGCUCUCGAAGUUCUCACGGCCCGUUGGUUUUUUCCUUCGUUUUGUCAGGGCUCCCUAGAUUUUCUCCUAGAUUUCUUCAGGGAUCUCUUCCCGUACUGCCUUGCCAUCAUGGGCAUUGGUUAGCUCCUUGCUGCACAUACAACCAGCAUAACUAUUAGACAUUCAUCCCUGGAACAUGACUAGCUCAGGAGAAACUACCAGACACGCAAUGAAAUAACCAAGUUAUUUUAAGCCUAGAAAUAUCAAACUCAACACAAUCAGUACAUAGUAAAACAAAUAAACCAAAUCAGGGAGUUAUCAACAAUCAUAUCCACAUAACAACCAUUUGAUACGUCCAUAUGGAAUCCAACCACAUAAAAAAGAGCAACUAAGAUAGGUGGAAUCCAACCACACCAAAAUCAUCAGCUAAUAGAGAUGAAAAUCAAGACAAAAGCACACAAAAUGGGCCCGACGAUCACUAACAGGCACAACAAGGACAAGCACUAAAAGGGAAAUGAAACUAGCACAGCUACACCGGAGAAAAUUUAACAUGCUUAAACUAUUGGCAGAUUGCAAAUGAAUGCAACUUUGCUAACCAAUAACAGGAUGCUCAAAUGUCAAUCACACCUCAUACAAGCGGAACAAGGUAAACAUAUAAUUCUUCAAAUGGCGUCUAUAGAGGGUGUCCGUCACAGCAUGAAAAGAAGUGCGCUAACAGAUUUGUUCUUUUCAUAUCAAGUUCUACACCCUAAGGAAAUGAUACUUGACAUUAGAAAAGCUCUGAGCAAACGAACUACACGAUCUUGUGCUAGGCUUAGGAUUGGGUCUUGUCCAUCACAUCAUUCUCCUCAUGAUGUGAUCCCGUUAUCAACGACAUCCAAUGUCCAUGGUCAGGAAACCGUAACCAUCUAUUGAUCAACGAGCUAGUCAACUAGAGGCUUACUAGGGACAUGGUGUUGUCUAUGUAUCCACACAUGUAUCUGAGUUUCCUAUCAAUACAAUUCCAGCAUGGAUAAUAAACGAUUAUCAUGAACAAAGAAAUAUAAUAAUAACCAAUUUAUUAUUGCCUCUAGGGCAUAUUUCCAACAAUCUCCCACUUGCACUAGAGUCAAUAAUCUAGUUCACAUCACCAUGUGAUUAACACUCACAGGUCACAUCACCAUGUGACCAACAUCUAAAGAGUUUACUAGAGUCAACAAUCUAGUUCACAUCACUAUGUGAUUAACACUCAAUGAGUUCUAGUUUGAUCAUGUUAUGCUUGUGAGAGAGGUUAUUAGUCAACGGGUCUGAACCUUUCAGAUCCGUGUGUGCUUUACGAAUAUCUAUGUCAUCUUGUGGAUGCUACCACGCGCUAUUUGGAGCCAUUUCAAAUAACUGCUCUAUUAUACGAAUCCGGUUUACUACUCAGAGCCAUCCGGAUUAGUGUCAAAGUUCGCAUCGACGUAACCCUUUACGACGAACUCCUUUUCACCUCCAUAAUCGAGAAAAUUCCUUAGUCCACUAGAUACUAAGGAUAAGUUCGACCGCUGUCAUGUGAUCCUUUCCCGGAUCACUAUUGUACCCCUUGACCAACUUAUGGCAAGGCACACUACAUGUGCGGUACACAGCAUAGCAUACUAUAGAGCCUACGUCUAAAGCAUAGGGGACGACAUUCGUCCUUUCUCUCUCUUCUGUUGUGGUCAGGUCUUGAGUCUUACUCAAUACUCACACCUUGUAACACAGCCAAGAACUCCUUCUUUGCUGAUCUAUUUUGAACUCUUUCAAAAUCAUGUCAAGGUGUGUGUUCUUUGAAAGUAUCAUCAGGCGUCUUGAUCUAUCUCUAUAGAUCUUGAUGCCCAAUAUGUAAGCAGCUUUAUCCAGGUCUUCCUUUGAAAAACUCCUUUCAAACAACCCUUUAUGCUUUCCAGAAAUUCUACAUCAUCUCUGAUCAACAAUAUGUCAACAACAUAUACUCAUCAGAAAUUCUAUAGUGCUCCCACUCACUUCUUUGGAAAUACAAGUUUCUCAUAAACUUUGUAUAAACCCAAAAUCUUUGAUCAUCUCAUCAAAGCGUACAUUCCAACUCCGAGAUGCUUACUCCAGUCCAUGGAAGGAUCACUGGAGCUAGCAUACCUUUUAGCAUCCUUAGGAUCGACAAAACCUUUCUGAUUGUAUCACAUACAACCUUUCCUUACGAAAACUGGUAAGGAAACUUGUUUUGACAUCCAUCUGCCAGAUUUCAUAAAUGCAGCUAAUGCUAACAUGAUUCCGACGGACUUAAGCAUCGCUACGGAUGAGAAAAUCUCAUCGUAGUCAACUCCUUGAACUUGUGGAAAUACUCUUUGCCACAAGUCGAGCUUCAUAGACGGUAACAUUACCGUCCACGUCCGUCUUCUUCUCAAAGAUCCAUUUAUCUCGGAUUUCAUGGCUUCUAACCUUUUGUCGGAAUAUGGGCCCACCAUCGCUUCUCCAUAGCUCGUAGGUUCAGUAUUGUCCAACAACAUGAUAUCUCAGACAGGAUCACGUACCACUCUGAAGUAGCACGCAUCCUCGUCGUCCUACGAGGUUUGGUGGUGACUUGAUCCGAAGUUUCAUGAUCACUAUCAUAAGCUUCCACUUCAAUUGGUGUAGGUGCCACAGGAACAACUUCCUGUGCCCUGCUACACACUGGUUGAAGUGACGGUUCAAUAACCUUAUCAAGUCUCCACCAUCCUCCCACUCAAUUCUUUCGAGAGAAACUUUUCCUCGAGAAAGGACUCGUUUCUAGAAGCAAUUACUUUUGCUUCCAGAUCUGAAAUAGGAGGUAUACCCAACUGUUUUGGGUUUUCUAUGAAGAUGCAUUUAUCCGCUUUGGGUUCGAGCUUAUCAGCCUGAAACUUUUUCACAUAAGCAUCGCAACCCAAACUUUGAAGAAACGACAACUUAGGUUUCUCUAAACGGUGUCGUCUCAACGGAAUUGCGUGGUGCCCUAUUUAAAGUGAAUGCGGUUGUCUCUAAUGCCUAACCCAUAAACGAUAGUGGUAAUUCGAUAAGAGACAUCAUGGCAUGCACCAUAUCCAAUAGGGUGCAGUUAUGAUGUUCGGACACACUAUCACACUAUGGUGUUUCAGGCGGUAUUAAUUGUGAAACACUUUCCACAAUGUCUUAAUUGUGUGCCAAACUCGUAACUCAGAUACUCAUCUCUAUGAUCAUAUCACAGACAUUUUAUCCUCUUGUCACGACGAUCUUCAACUUCACUCUGAAAUUACUUGAACCUUUCAAUAAUUCAGACUUGUGUUUCAUCAAGUAAAUACACUCAGCAUCUACUCAAACCAUCUGUGAAGUAAGAACAUAUCGAUAUCCACUGCGUGCCUCAGCACUCAUUGGACUGCACACAUCAAAUGUAUUACUUCCAACAAGUUGCUCUCUUGUUCCAUCUUACUGAAAACGAGGCCUUUCAGUCAUCUUGCUCAUGUGGUAUGAUUUGCAUGUCUCAAGUGAUUCAAAAUCAAGUGAGUCCAAACGAUCCAUCUGCAUGGAGUUUCUUCAUGCAUAUAUACCAAUAGACAUGGUUCGCAUGUCUCAAUCUUUUCAAAAACGAGUGAGUCCAAAGAUCCAUCUACAUGGAGCUUCUUCAUGCGUUUUAUCCCAAUAUGACUCAAACAGCAGUGCCACAAGUAUGUGGUACUAUCAUUACUUUUGGCAUGAACAUGUGUAUCACUACGAUCGAGAUUUAUUUUAGGUGUAAGACCAUUGAAGGUAUUAUUCAAAUAAACAGAGUAACCAUUAUUCUCCUUAAAUGAAUAACCGUAUUGCGAUAAACAUAAUCCAAUCAUGUUUAUGCUCAACGCAAACACCAAUCUCGAUGGUAGAGGGAGCAUGCGAUGCUUGAUCACAUCAACCUUGGAAACACUUCCAACACACAUCGUCAUCUCACCUUUAGCUAGUCUCCAUUUAUUCCGCAGCUUUUAUUUCGAGUUACUAACACUUAGCAACCGAACCGGUAUCUAAUACCCUGGUGCUGCUAGGAGUACUAGUAAAGUACACAUUCAUAUAAUGUAUAUCCAAUAUACUUCUGUCGACCUUGCCUGCCUUCUCAUCUACCAAAUAUCUAGGGUAGUACUGCUUCAGUGACCGUUCCCCUCAUUACAGAAGCACUUAGUCUCGGGUUUGGGUUCAACCUUGGGAUUCUUCACUAGAGCAGCAAACGAUUUGCUGUUUCAUGAAGUAUCCCUUUUGCCCUUGCCCUUCUAGAAACUAGUGGUUUUACUAACCAUCAACAAUUGAUGCUCCUUCUUGAUUUCUACUUUCGCGGUGUCAAACAUCGCGAAUAGCUCAAGGAUCAUCAUAACUACCCCUGAUAUGUUAUAGUUCAUCACGAAGCUCUACUAGCUUGGUGGCAGUGACUAUGGAGAACCAUCACUAUCUCAUCUGGGAGAUUAACUCCCACUCGAUUCAAGCGAUUGUGGUACUCAGACAAUCUGAGCACAUGCUCAACGAUUGAGCUUUUCUCCCUUAGUUUGCAGGCUUAAGAAACUUGUCAGAGGUCUCAUACCUCUUGACAUGGGCACUAGUCUGAAAUCCCAAUUUCACUGUUCGGAACAUCUCAUAUGUUCUGCGACGUUUCAAAACCGUCUUUGGUGCCACAAUUCUAAACCGUUAGCAAUACACACUGAACUAUCACGUAGUCAUCAAAACGUGUGUGUCAGAUGUUUCGCAACAUCUACAGACGACGCUGAGGUUCAGCACACCGAGCGGUGCAUUAAGGACAUAAGCCUUCUGUGCAGCAAUGAGGACAAUCCUCAGUUUACGGACCCAGUCCGCAUAAUUGCUACUACCAACUUUCAACUAAAUUUUUCUCUAGGAACGUAUCUUAAACAGUAGAACUAAAGCGCAAGCUAUGACAUAAUUUGCAAAGACCUUUUUGACUAUGUUCAUGAUAAUGAAGUUCAACUGAUUAUGAACUCCCACUCAGAUAGACAUCCCUCUAGUCUUCUAAGUGAUACAUGAUCCGAGUCAAACUAGGCCGUGUCCGAUCAUCACGUGAGACGGACUAGUCAUCAUCGGUGAACAUCUCCAUGUUGAUUGUAUCUUCUAUACGACUCAUGCUCGACCUUUCGGUCUCUUGUGUUCCGAGGCCAUGUCUGUACAUGCUAGGCUCGUCAAGUCAACCUAAGUGUUUCGCAUGUGUUCCGAGGCCAUGUCUGUACAUGCUAGGCUCGUCAACACCCGUUGUAUUCGAACGUUAUAAUCUAUCACACCUGAUCAUCACGUGGUGCUUCAAAACAACGAACCUUCGCAACGGUGCACAGUUAGGGGGAACACUUCUCUUGAAAUUUUAGUGAGUGAUCAUCUUACUUACUACCGUCGUUCUAAGCAAAUAAGAUGCAAAACAUGAUAAACAUCACAUGCAAUCAAAUAGUGACAUGAUAUGGCCAAUAUCAUUUUGCUCCUUUGAUCUCCAUCUUCGGGGCACCAUGAUCAUCUUCGUCAUCGGCAUGACACCAUGAUCUCCAUCAUCAUGAUCUCCAUCAUUGUGUCUUUAUGAAGUUGUCACGCCAACGAUUACUUCUACUUCUAUGGCUAACGCGCUUAGCAAUAAAGUAAAGUAAUUUACAUGGCGUUAUUCAAUGACACGCAGGUCAUGCAAAAAAUAAAGACAACUCCUAUGGCUCCUGCCGGUUGUCAUACUCAUCGACAUGCAAGUCGUGAUUCCUAUUACAAGAAUAUGAUCAAUCUCAUACAUCACAUAUAUCAUUCAUCACAUCUUCUGGACAUAUCACAUCACAUAGCACAUGCUGCAAAAACAAGUUAGACGUCCUCUAAUUGUUGUUGCAAGUUUUUACGUGGCUUGUUUAGGUUUCUAGCAAGAACGUUUCUUACCUACGUAAAACCACAACGUGAUAUGCCAAUUUCUAUUUACCCUUCAUAAGGACCCUUUUCAUCGAAUCCGUUCCGACUAAAGUGGGAGAGACAGACACCCGCUAGCCACCUUAUGCAACUAGUGCAUGUCAGUCGGUGGAACCUGUCUCACGUAAGCGUACGUGUAAGGUCGGUCCGGGCCGCUUCAUCCCACAAUGCCGCCGAAACAAGAUAAGACUAGUAGCGGCAAGAAGAAUUGGCAACAUCAACGCCCACAACUGCUUUGUGUUCUACUUGUGCAUAGAAACUACGCAUAGACCUAGCUCAUGAUACCACUGUUGGGGAACAUAGCAGAAAUUCAAAAUUUUCUACGAAUCACCAAGAUCAAUCUAUGGAGUAAUCUAGCAACGAGGGGAAGGGGAGUGCAUCUACAUACCAUUGUAGAUCGCGAUGCGGAAGCGUUGCAAGAACGCGGAUGAAGGAGUCGUACUCGUAGCGAUUCAGAUCGCGGUUGAUUCCAAUCUAAGCACCGAAGAACGGUGCCUCCGCGUUCAUCACACGUGCAGCCCGGUGACGUCUCCCACGCCUUGAUCCAGCAAGGAGAGAGGGAGAGGUUGGGGAAGACUCCGUCCAGCAGCAGCACGACGGCGUGGUGGUGAUGGAGGAGCGUGGCAAUCCCGCAGGGCUUCGCCAAGCACCGCGGGAGAGGAGGAGGAGGGAGAGGGGUAGGGCUGCACCGAAAGAGAGACGUUCUCGUGUCUAUGGGCAGCCCCAAACCUCAACUAUAUAUAGGGGGGGAGGGGGCUGCGCCCCCUCUAGGGUUUCCACCCCAAGGGCUGGCGGCCAGCCCUAGAUCCCAUCUAGGGGGGCGGCCAAGGGGAGGAGAGGGGGGGCGCCACUAGGGUGGGCCUUAAGGCCCAUCUGGACCUAGGGUUUGCCCCCUCCCACUCUCCCAUGCGCCUUGGCCCUUGGUGGGGGGGCGCACCAGCCCACCUGGGGCUGGUCCCCUCCCACACUUGGCCCACACAGCCUUCUGGGGCUGGUGGCCCCACUUGGUGGACCCCCGGGACCCUCCCGGUGGUCCCGGUACAUUACCGAUAUCACCCGAAACUUUUCUGGUGACCAAAACAGGACUUCCCAUAUAUAAAUCUUUACCUCCGGACCAUUCCGGAACUCCUCGUGACGUCCGGGAUCUCAUCCGGGACUCCGAACAACAUUCGGUAACCACGUAUAUCUUUUCCCUAUAACCCUAGCGUCAUCGAACCUUAAGUGUGUAGACCCUACGGGUUCGGGAACCAUGCAGACAUGACCGAGACGUUCUCCGGUCAAUAACCAACAGCGGGAUCUGGAUACCCAUGUUGGCUCCCACAUGUUCCACGAUGAUCUCAUCGGAUGAACCACGAUGUCGGGGAUUCAAUCAAUCCCGUAUGCAAUUCCCUUUGUCUAUCGAUAUGUUACUUGCCCGAGAUUCGAUCGUCGGUAUCCCGAUACCUUGUUCAAUCUCGUUACCGGCAAGUCUCUUUACUCGUUCCGUAACUCACAUCAUCCCGUGAUCAACUCCUUGGUCACACUGUGCACAUUAUGAUGAUGUCCUACCGAGUGGGCCCAGAGAUACCUCUCCGUUUACACGGAGUGACAAAUCCCAGUCUCGAUUCAUGCCAACCCAACAGACACUUUCGGAGAUACCUGUAGUGCACCUUUAUAGCCACCCAGUUACGUUGUGACGUUUGGUACACCCAAAGCAUUCCUACGGUAUCCGGGAGUUGCACAAUCUCAUGGUCUAAGGAAAUGAUACUUGACAUUAGAAAAGCUCUGAGCAAACGAACUACACGAUCUUGUGCUAGGCUUAGGAUUGGGUCUUGUCCAUCACAUCAUUCUUCUAACGAUGUGAUCCCGUUAUCAACGACAUCCAAUGUCCAUGGUCAGGAAACCGUAACCAUCUAUUGAUCAACGAGCUAGUCAACUAGAGGCUUACUAGGGACAUGGUGUUGUCUAUGUAUCCACACAUGUAUCUGAGUUUCCUAUCAAUACAAUUCCAGCAUGGAUAAUAAACGAUUAUCAUGAACAAGGAAAUAUAAUAAUAACCAAUUUAUUAUUGCCUCUAGGGCAUAUUUCCAACAGUUAUGCUCAUGGAAGGUUCUCAAACGGUGUUGCGUACCCUAUUACCCUCAGCGCUAUCAUUGGGUUGAGCGGCUGGCUUCCCUGCUCCAGGUCUGACACUGAUAUUUUUGACAAAAAAACAUUCAUGUUACUGAUACAGUAUAUUGGUAGUAUCUGUUAAGCUCAUAUUCGAAUAUUGUUUAGGACCCUGAGGACCAAGAUUGAGAGCUCACAGACUGCUUUCAGGAGGGCUGCUGCCUUGCCGAUAAUGCUUGGCCAUGGAAGAGGUUAGCAUUGCUAUUGUUUUGCAGUCCAUGUGCUGAAUUAAUCUCUUCUGAAUUGUGCAAUUUACUACUACUAAAAAUGGUUAAUUUCCUUCUUUGUGUUCCUGCAGGGGACGAGGUAGUCACGUACAGGAACGGUGAGAGGUCAGCCGAGUUUCUGCGGAACUCGGGCUUUUCUUACCUGAAUUUGAAAGCCUACAACGGGUACUACAGAUGGACAUGCACAAUUUUCCCACUUCGUAUUUUUCUUCUGAAAUUUAGUAGUACUGAUAUCAUGUCAUUUGUGCAGACUAGGCCAUCACACCAUCCCUGAGGAAAUGGACGAUGUCUCCAAGUGGCUCAGGGCAAGGCUCGGGCUUGAUCGCUCUUGCGGCUAAGUGGAGAAGCUUGUGCCUUGGUGGCUGACACAUGACAUGAGAGAAAAGUAUUAAAACUAUAGAGGAGGAGAAGGGUGAUAUAUAUAGGUUAAUCAUAUGAAGGGACCACGACCGGCACGUUUUGAUAUAUAAGUCAUCACUAGUGAAUUUCAUGUUACACUUAUAUUGUACUAGUAAGAGUUGUACCCGAAUAUUCAAAGGCGUGGACGAGCUUGCCUGGUCACGUUAUCGUCGAACGUCCAAUCGAUUCGGGAUAUGGGACGUACGCGCUAUUCUAGGACGUGUACGCCGGCUCAUUAAAUGCGUAUUGUGGACGGGAGGAGCACACGUUUGUAUGGUGCGUGCCGACGGACGUGUGCCCUGGCGACAGCGUUUCGGUACUGCACCAACGCGUGCCAAAGGUGCAAACGGAAUCGAUGCCCCGUCAGAUUCGUCUGUUAUCGAUGCCCCGCCAGCUCUUCCCUUCACGGAAUCAUGCGAGCAACCAAUGGCAAUUAUCGAUCUGUUCUUUUGUGUGACACGUCUGCAAGUUGCGAGCGAAAAACAAACACGAGCGGCACGUACCUGCAAUAGUGAACGACCCUGCUGCAGAACUGCAUGCGCCGGAGAACCGCCACCACCGGCAUGAUCUUUCAGAACUCAUAUUCUAAACAUGGUUGUCUUGAUCAGUGCCGACAGCUAGGCCAUUCGAGCUCGAACCGGAGGAGGCAUGGAUAACAGAGCUCCCGCCGGAAGCCGGGGCAGACAUCUUCACUCACACACAGUGAAACAGGCUGUCUGAUCCUAGGGUAGGCUGUAGAUGAGACUACGGUGUGACCUCUCCGGAAGGAUGCAGUGCAGCCCCCUCGUCAAGUACACGCACUUGGGGAGCCCUCACAGGUGUUUAGGCUGCAGCCACAUUGAAGCACUGUUGUCACUGCCUAGCUGUAUAGUAGAAACUGAUGCCAAGCAACCUUGCAGGAGGGAACAGAGAAAAGUAACUGAAUUUUUGCUAACAACAAGUCACUCGACAGUUAUUUUGGCUUUUCAACUACUAUGCAAUGGAAUCCAUGCUAACAUGGACACGCCACAUGAGAUCCCAGUCAGCUUACAUACAUAAUAUUCACACAAGACAGGCAAACUGAAUACAACAGUUUUUAUUACGCGUAAGACAGUCUUCCAGAUAAUGGCUACGGAGCCCUCAACAACAUACAAAAAAACUAAAUCUAAUAAGGGUCAGCCGCAAAUUGCAUGUCAGCAUUUUCUACAACAUGCAGCACAACCUUAGGCUUGUUGCAGGUGUUCUUCCUGUGCCCGCACUAGUAGAAAAAGAGGCUUCCAUACGCCCCCAUUAGUCCCUAAAAUAAUCGAACCGCGACCAAAGGGGUCUUUAGUCGCGGUUCGGGAGGAGACCCGCGACCAACUAUCUAGGCCCAGCGCGCUCGGUCGACAGCUGGCGGACGGGAGGGGCUUUAGUCCCGGUUGGCCUGGCCAACCGGGACUAAAGGUCCUCAGGCUGGCCCGAAGGCCUUUAGUUGCGGUUGGCCAGGCCAACCGGGACUAAAGGCCCAUCCCUAUAUAUAGGACUCAGCUCACUUCACUUAGCCACAAUUCAGAAGGGGGGUGGUGGGUUUGCUUUUGGUUCCUCCUAUGCACACAAGGUGUUCGAUGAAAUGCCCGAGAGCAUGAAACAAACAUGAUAUGAAGUGUCCGAGCCACACUUGAGCUUUCUCAUUUAUUUUUCCUCCGCGAUCGCGGUUAGCAACUUGAACCUUUCAUGUGUCAUUGAUAAAAUAUGCAUGUGUGUAGUUCAUUGUUUAAUUUGUAUUAUUUCUAGCUAGUUAGUUUAACAAAUGCAUGAUGGUUAAUUAUAUAUUGAAUCGGCAAUGGAUGUACGGUCCCCGACUCUCCGGCGAGUUCACUACGGGUUUGAAAGAUUUCCUCGUAGUGGCAAAUGCGAACAAGCAGCGAGGUUUUAUUAUCUGUCCAUGUGCUGUCUAUAAGAAUCAGAAGGGUUACUCCUCCUCAAGAGACGUUCACAUGCACCUGCUUCGGCACGGUUUCAUGCGAAGCUAUAAUUGUUGGACCAAGCAUGGAGAAAGAGGGGUUAGAAUGGAAGAAGAUGAAGAAGGGGAUGAUAUCGAUGACUACUAUCAUGAUCAUUUCGGUGAUACUUUCAUGGAGGAUGAUGCUGAAGGUGGGGAAGGGUUAGGUGAAGGUGAAGAAGAGGCACAUGAUGAGCCCGCUGAUGAUCUUGGUCGGACCAUUGCUGAUGCACGGAGACGCUGCGAAACUGACAAGGAGAGGGAGAAUUUGGAUCGCAUGUUAGAGGAUCACAAAAAGUCGUUGUACCCAGGAUGCGAUAAUAGUCUGAAAAAGCUGGGCUGCACACUGGAUUUGCUAAAAUGGAAGGCACAGAAAGGUGUAGCUGACUCAUCAUUUGAAAAUUUGCUGAAAAUGUUGAAGAAUAUGUUUCCGAAGAAUAACGAGUUGCCCGUCAGUACAUACGAAGCAAAGAAGGUUGUCUGCCCUCUAGGUUUAGAGGUUCUGAAGAUACAUGCAUGCAUUAACGACUGCAUCCUCUACCGCGGUGAAUACGAGAAUUUGAAUGAAUGCCUUGUAUGCACUGCAUUGCGUUAUAAGAUCAGAGGCGAUGACCCUGGUGACGAUGUUGAGGGCGAGAAACCCAGGAAGAGGGUUCCCGCCAAGGUGAUGUGGUAUGCUCCUAUAAUACCACAGUUGAAACGUCUGUUCAGGAACAAAAAGCAUGCCAAGUCGUUGCGAUGGCACAAAGAGGACCGUAAGUCCGACGGGGAGUUGAGACACUCCGCUGAUGGAACGCAAUGGAGAAAGAUCGACAGAGUGUUCAAAGAUUUUGCAGCUAACGCAAGGAACAUAAGAUUUGGUCUAAGUACUGAUGGCAUGAAUCCUUUUGGCGAGCAGAGCUCCAGCCAUAGCACCUGGCCCGUGACUCUAUGCAUCUGCAACCUUCCUCCUUGGUUGUGCAUGAAGCGGAAGUUCAUUAUGAUGCCAGUGCUCAUCCAAGGUCCAAAGCAACCCGGGAACGACAUCGAUGUGUACCUAAGGCCAUUAGUUGAUGAACUUUUACAGUUGUGGGGCAGACCUGGUGUACGUGUCUGGGAUGAGCACAAAGAAGAGGAAUUUGACCUACGAGCGUUGCUUUUUGUAACCAUCAACGAUUGGCCUGCUCUCAGUAACCUUUCAGGACAGACAAAUAAGGGAUACAAUGCAUGCACGCACUGCUUACAUGAGACUGAAAGUGUCCGUUUGCGUAAUUGUAAGAAGAACGUGUACCUGGGUCAUCGUCGAUUUCUUCCCCGAAAUCAUAACGUAAGAAAGAAAGGCAAGCAUUUCAACGGCAAGGCAGAUCACCGGCCGAAGCCUGCGGAACGUACUGGUGCUGAGAUAUUUGAUAUGGUCAAGGAUUUGAAAGUCAUCUUUGGAAAGGGUCCUGGCGGACAAUCAGUUCCGCGGGGAGUUGACGGGCACGCACCCAUGUGGAAGAAGAAAUCUAUAUUUUGGGAGCUAGAAUAUUGGAAAGUCCUAGAUGUCCGCUCUGCAAUCGACGUGAUGCAUGUUACGAAGAAUAUUUGCGUGAACCUGCUAAGCUUCUUGGGCGUGUAUGGGAAGACAAAUGAUACAAAGGAAGCACGGCAGGACCAGCAACUUUUGAAAGACCCAGAUGACCGGCAUCCGGAAUGGUUUCAAGGUCGUGCCAGCUACGCUCUUACCAAAGAAGAGAAGGUCAUUUUUUUUUGAAUGCCUGAGCAGUAUGAAGGUCCCGUCUGGCUUCUCGUCGAAUAUAAAGGGAAUAAUAAACAUGGCGGACAAAAAGUUCCUAAACCUGAAGUCUCACGACUGCCACGUGAUUAUGACGCAAUUGCUUCCGAUUGCUUUGAGGGGGCUCCUACCGGAAAAUGUUCGAGUAGCCAUUGUGAAGCUAUGUGCAUUCCUCAAUGCAAUCUCUCAGAAGGUAAUCAAUCCAGAAGAUCUACCACGGUUACAGAACGAUGUGGUCCAAUGCCUUGUCAGUUUCGAGUUGGUGUUCCCACCAUCCUUCUUCGAUAUUAUGACGCACCUCCUGCUCCACCUAGUCGAAGAGAUUUCCAUUCUCGGUCCUGUAUUUCUACACAAUAUGUUCCCCUUUGAGAGGUUCAUGGGAGUAUUAAAGAAAUAUGUUCGUAACCGUGCUAGGCCAGAAGGAAGCAUCGUCAAGGGCUAUGGAAAUGAGGAGGUAAUUGAGUUCUGUAUUGACUAUAUUCCUGACCUUAAGCCGAUUGGUAUUCCUCAAUCGCGGCACGAGGGGAGACUAAGUGGAAAAGGCACAAUCGGAAGGAAAUCAACGAUAUGUAUGGACGGUCAUUCUAUGACUGAAGCACACCACACAGUUCUGCAAAAUUCCAGCUUGGUGGCUCCGUACUUCGAGCAACACAAGAAUAUUUUACGCUCGGACAACCCGGGGAAGCCUGAAUCCUGGAUUAGGAAGGCCCACAUGGAGACGUUCGGCAGUUGGUUGCGAAAACAUUUAAUGAAUGACAAUGAUGUUGGAGAUCAGCUGUACAUGUUGGCCAAGACACCAUCUUCGACUAUAACGACUUUCCAAGGGUACGAGAUAAAUGGGAAUACAUUUUACACCAUCGCCCAAGAUAAAAAGAGCACCAACCAAAACAGUGGUGUCCGCUUUGAUGCAGCAACCGAGAAUGGGCAAAAGGUCACAUAUUAUGGUUACAUAGAGGAGAUAUGGGAACUUGACUAUGGACCCUCCUUUAAGGUCCCUUUGUUUCGGUGCAAAUGGUUCAAGCUAACAGGAGGUGGGGUAAAGGUGGACGAGCAAUACGGAAUGACAAUGGUGGAUUUCAACAAUCUUGGUUACCUUGACGAACCAUUCGUCCUUGCCAAAGAUGUCGCUCAGGUUUUUUAUUUGAAGGACAUGAGUAGCAAACCGAGGAAACGGAAAGAUAAGAAAACGAUCAGUACAUCAUGCGAUGAUCCAAAGCGCCACAUUGUUCUUUCAGGGAAAAGAAACAUCGUGGGAGUGGAGGACAAGACAGACAUGUCAGAAGAUUAUAAUAUGUUUGGUGAAAUUCCGCCCUUCAAAGUGAACACUGACCCAAGCAUUAAGUUNNNNNNNNNNNNNNNNNNNNNNNNNNNNNNNNNNNNNNNNNNNNNNNNNNNNNNNNNNNNNNNNNNNNNNNNNNNNNNNNNNNNNNNNNNNNNNNNNNNNNNNNNNNNNNNNNNNNNNNNNNNNNNNNNNNNNNNNNNNNNNNNNNNNNNNNNNNNNNNNNNNNNNNNNNNNNNNNNNNNNNNNNNNNNNNNNNNNNNNNNNNNNNNNNNNNNNNNNNNNNNNNNNNNNNNNNNNNNNNNNNNNNNNNNNNNNNNNNNNNNNNNNNNNNNNNNNNNNNNNNNNNNNNNNNNNNNNNNNNNNNNNNNNNNNNNNNNNNNNNNNNNNNNNNNNNNNNNNNNNNNNNNNNNNNNNNNNNNNNNNNNNNNNNNNNNNNNNNNNNNNNNNNNNNNNNNNNNNNNNNNNNNNNNNNNNNNNNNNNNNNNNNNNNNNNNNNNNNNNNNNNNNNNNNNNNNNNNNNNNNNNNNNNNNNNNNNNNNNNNNNNNNNNNNNNNNNNNNNNNNNNNNNNNNNNNNNNNNNNNNNNNNNNNNNNNNNNNNNNNNNNNNNNNNNNNNNNNNNNNNNNNNNNNNNNNNNNNNNNNNNNNNNNNNNNNNNNNNNNNNNNNNNNNNNNNNNNNNNNNNNNNNNNNNNNNNNNNNNNNNNNNNNNNNNNNNNNNNNNNNNNNNNNNNNNNNNNNNNNNNNNNNNNNNNNNNNNNNNNNNNNNNNNNNNNNNNNNNNNNNNNNNNNNNNNNNNNNNNNNNNNNNNNNNNNNNNNNNNNNNNNNNNNNNNNNNNNNNNNNNNNNNNNNNNNNNNNNNNNNNNNNNNNNNNNNNNNNNNNNNNNNNNNNNNNNNNNNNNNNNNNNNNNNNNNNNNNNNNNNNNNNNNNNNNNNNNNNNNNNNNNNNNNNNNNNNNNNNNNNNNNNNNNNNNNNNNNNNNNNNNNNNNNNNNNNNNNNNNNNNNNNNNNNNNNNNNNNNNNNNNNNNNNNNNNNNNNNNNNNNNNNNNNNNNNNNNNNNNNNNNNNNNNNNNNNNNNNNNNNNNNNNNNNNNNNNNNNNNNNNNNNNNNNNNNNNNNNNNNNNNNNNNNNNNNNNNNNNNNNNNNNNNNNNNNNNNNNNNNNNNNNNNNNNNNNNNNNNNNNNNNNNNNNNNNNNNNNNNNNNNNNNNNNNNNNNNNNNNNNNNNNNNNNNNNNNNNNNNNNNNNNNNNNNNNNNNNNNNNNNNNNNNNNNNNNNNNNNNNNNNNNNNNNNNNNNNNNNNNNNNNNNNNNNNNNNNNNNNNNNNNNNNNNNNNNNNNNNNNNNNNNNNNNNNNNNNNNNNNNNNNNNNNNNNNNNNNNNNNNNNNNNNNNNNNNNNNNNNNNNNNNNNNNNNNNNNNNNNNNNNNNNNNNNNNNNNNNNNNNNNNNNNNNNNNNNNNNNNNNNNNNNNNNNNNNNNNNNNNNNNNNNNNNNNNNNNNNNNNNNNNNNNNNNNNNNNNNNNNNNNNNNNNNNNNNNNNNNNNNNNNNNNNNNNNNNNNNNNNNNNNNNNNNNNNNNNNNNNNNNNNNNNNNNNNNNNNNNNNNNNNNNNNNNNNNNNNNNNNNNNNNNNNNNNNNNNNNNNNNNNNNNNNNNNNNNNNNNNNNNNNNNNNNNNNNNNNNNNNNNNNNNNNNNNNNNNNNNNNNNNNNNNNNNNNNNNNNNNNNNNNNNNNNNNNNNNNNNNNNNNNNNNNNNNNNNNNNNNNNNNNNNNNNNNNNNNNNNNNNNNNNNNNNNNNNNNNNNNNNCCUGCCGUCCUCCUCAAACAAAAACUUGAGCAGAGAGGAAAAAGAAAAGGAAAGAGAGAGCAGAGAGGAAAAAGAAAAGGAAAAAGAAAAGGAAAGAGAGAGCAGAAAGGAAAAAGAAAAGGAAAAAGAAAAGGAAAUUUAUUUGGGAAUAAUUGUAUUAAUCAUUAAAUUUGCGCGGCGGCGGAGGAAAAAGAAAAGGAAAAAGAAAAGGAAAAACAAAAUACUUGAUAGUGCUCAAACAAAAACUUCUAUGCAAAUUAGUGCUCAAUAAAAAACUGAAAAGGAAAAAGAAAAGGAAAGAGAGAGCAGAGAGGAAAAAGAAAAGGAAAUUUAUUUGGGAAUAAUUGUAUAAAUUUGACCCAAAAAACAUCAAUUUUAUUUUUUAAUAGCUCUUAAUCAUUCAACCGUCGCUGCUCCUCCUCUAUGUCCCCUUAAUCUUAUUUUUUAAUUCCUUUAUACUUAAUUAAUUUUUACUACAUGCAGGAGUGACAUAUGGCGGACGAUAGAGCCGAGCCGCUUAGGGAUCCGGAGGCUGAACGUUAUUUAAUGGGCAUCAUAAACAACGAGAUUCCUUAUGUGCCGGGCUCAGAAUAUGAGCAAGAAGAGGAUGUAGUCUCUUCUUUUCUGAACCUUGACGGUGGAACAGACAUUGUCGAUGAUUAAAAAGGUGAAGGAACGGACAUUGUCGACGGAGGUCAACCGUCAACAAACGACGAUCUCGAAUUGCAAGUAGCAACCACCUCCGGCGAGGUAUAUAUAUACAUUGAGCCUCUCGUGAUACAAACUUACUGAAAUGUGAAUACAUAUGUAUUAACGCGCGCGACUCUCUUUUUUUUUUUUAGCCCUCGGCCGGAUCGAGUACGACAAAGCGUGGCAAAUCCAAGGCGAUGAAAACAGGAGAAACAUAUGCCAUUGAUUUUGUCAGUGAAACCGGCAAGCCCCUACAGCACACCUCAAAGUUUAUCAACCAAUGCGGAGUCGUUGUUAGAGACAACGUCCCGAUCACCGUCCAGGAAUGGAAGGAGCCAAAGAAGGCACGUCUUGGUUUCAGUUUUGUCGACAAGAGAACGAAAAAGGAUUGCUGGAGAAAGCUUAUGGAACAUUUCAUUCUACCUCCGGAAUACAACAAAGUCGAUGAAUUCGGUAACGAGGUUCCGGGUGGACGUGAGAGGAGGAGGCUAGUUAAAGUGUUCGCUCUUCAGAAGAUGGGCAAAGCAUUCCGGAACUUCAAGAAAAAUUUAACCCGUGACUAUGUCAACAAGGGCAAGACUCCGGAUUUCAAUGGACAACAUGAGAAACUGAAAGAUGAUUGGCCAGAAUUUGUGAGGCAAAAGAAAUCGGAGCAUUUCAAGGAAAUAUCGAAAAAAAUAAGGAUAAUGCGAGUAAGAAAAAGUUCCAUCAUAUUAUGGGGCCAGGAGGAUACCGCCUUUCGGAGCCUAAGUGGCAGAAGAUGGAGGAGGACCUGAGGGUGCGAGGAAUCCCUCUAGGUACAGAGGGAUGGGACCCAAGGGCCAAAAGCUGGUGGUACGGGCAUGGGGGAUCGCUAGACCCGGAGACAAGGAUGUGUGUGUUCACCGGAAGAAAAAGUUUGCUCCCACCCAAGCCCUUAUUGACGCAAUGACCCAAGCUCAAGAGGGCUUGAUCAAGUUCAACAGAGAGAAAGACGCAUUGACAACAGCCCUCGGGAAUGAUGAACACGGAGGACGUGUACGAGGCAAAGGCAGAAUUCCGUGGAAAGUAGGGUUUUCCAAGGACAAUGACCCGUACUGUUACAGAAGCCGUAAGAGAAAGACGGACCGGGAUGCAGAUCUUUUGGCGAAGUUUGCAUCGGAACUCCAUGAGUUGAAGCAGACCGUGCAUGAACUAGUAAAAGAAAAAUCGGCUGCAGGGCCGCAUGAAGAUCAUGAAGCGGAUCGCGGAAGCCAGCAGCGGAGAAGCAGCGUGGCUUCCACGGAUGCCCCGCCUGGUGCUAAUGCACCGAUGAUCGAGAUUCGUGCACCGGAGCCUCACUACCCCGUGGAUGAUGUAAAGGAGAUGAAAGAAUGUGAUCUGCAUUAUCCCGUGGGGAACGUUUCCACGAAGGUAGCUACCGGCAGUGCUUUACCCUGUACACCUGGAGCACUCCACCACAACAACCCCAUUGCAUAUGGCUAUGCUCGUGUCACGGUGGAAGACAUAGUCCAAGAGUUUGAGGACUUGAAGAUUGACAAAGCUACACCCGAAGGGGAGAGAAGACUUGGAGAUGUCAACCCCAGAUCAUUCUAUGGAAAAAGAAGUACAUAGUGUUUCCAGGCGAGGCGCCAAGGCUAACAAGUCCACCCCCCUCCGAUGGUGGUGGUGGUGGUGGUGGUGGCGGUGGUGGUGGUCGUGGUGGUUCACCUACACCUCCUUCACGCCAUUCGACGCCGUCCCCCGAUCCACAACCUCCGGCGGGUAAGCAGCCGCCGCCCCCCAAUCCUCCUCCGGCGGGUACGACGCCCCCCAAUCCUCCUCCGGCGGGUACGACGCCCCCCAAUCCACCUCCGACGAAGAAGCAGAAGCAGGCGGACAGCAAGGAAACCCGCUCCUGGACUAUUAACCCGGACCCUUAUGUACCUAAGACCACAAGGGUACCGGAGCCAUCACUGAAGCCUCUCCUCCCAAGGCCUUGGGAACUUAGUGAAGCUGAAACCAAAUUGGCCGCGUCUGCUCAUUAUGAGAAAUGGAAGGCGGAUACGAAGGCGAUAAAAGAGCCUGAGCCCAAGCAAGUAUUCACUGAGAAGCAAAAGAAGUGGGCUAAGGAUUUUUUGACGACACCGUCCCAAGCCGAGCUGAAUAUGCCUGACGACUAUGGACAUGAACUUCGUAGGCAAGCAAAAAUAUUAAGGAGGAGAAAGAAGAAAGUAAAAAAAGCGGGAAACAAGUUGACCAGCUCGGGAUGCAGAAUAAACAAUCGAUCCCCCCGCUCAUAGUGAAAGCCGGUCCGGAAGAGGACCCCGAGAUCAUAGCAGCUACGGCAGCACUUGGAUUGACUGUAGCGAGUGCCAUGAAACAAGCGUCCGAGAUGGGUUUGACUCUUCGUGCCUUCUUAGGCCUUGAGGAUGCACCAGUAUGUGAGAUAGCAUUACAAUAUGUGCGGAAUGGGCCUCUCGUCGAGCCUGCGCGGGAAAAGAGUCUACCACCACAAUGCGAAAUCUGCUACGUUGGUACAAGCAAUUCAUAACAUGGGCCGACAAAGAAUAUGUUUAUGCGGAUGUUACAGAGGAGCAUCACACCAAACGGUACUCUGUACAAGUUCAUAUGAGUGAAUUGUUCCAGCUGUUCAAUCUGCGCGAGCUCGACAAAUCUAUCCUGAGUUGCUACGUUCUGUAAGUGAUUUAUUUCUACCUCAUCUCGUUCUUCAUUGCCUGCACUAUAUAUAUAUAUAUAUUGUCCUAACUAUAUUGUUGCGUACGCUAUUAUGCAGAUUGAAGAUUUGGGAAUGCAAAAUAAGAAACAUCCAUGAUGUUGGGUUCAUUGACCCACAUAUCGUUAAUGGACAUGUGUUACAAAAUCACCCCGAAGACGUGGAGAAAGACUUGUACAAGUUUCUUAGAAAGCAUCAACUCAAAAGUCAUAUUCUAUUUCCUUACCAUUUUGGGUGAGUGUUUCUCUCUUGUGCCCAUUCUCUUUUGUUUACUCCAUGCAUGGUAUGUCUAAUCGAUGAGUUAUGCAUGACUGUGCAUGUAACGUGUCCGCAGGUUCCACUGGAUUCUGCUAAAUAUUGAACUUCACACCUCCAGAGUUCUAAUCAUGGACUCUAUGGAUUCGGAUCCAAAGCGUUGGGCCGACAUGAGAAAAAUGCUGCAAAAGUAAUUAUUUUCAAUCAUUUGAGCUCUAUAUCGAUCGGUCUCUUUCGUUCAUUUCCUAAUAUCAAGUAACUAAUAACUCCCUUGUUCAUUUAAUUUUCUUUGCCCUGUAGGGUUUGGAGACGGUUCUCAGAAGAUAUUGUCGGUGAAUUCAAACAUGAGCUAGAUUUUAGAAGGUUAGUUAAUGUGGAUAAGCAGCCACCGGGGACCAAUCUAUGUGGAUACUAUGUUUGUGAGAACAUCCGGAGACACACCUCUGAGCGGAAGGCAUCGGAUAGCGUGCGGAAGGCGACGGAUAACUUGCGGAGGAGGCUUAGUCCAGAAGCUCGCUUCCGACCAAUUCAAGAUGAAUUAGCAGGAUUUUUCAUGAGGGAAGUCAUCAAUCCUAAAGGAGAACACUAUACCGAGGACGAAGAAAUUUAUAUGCAUACCCGAGAUUGAAACUUGUUCGAAGUUGUAUAUGGUCAUCCAUCCUAAUUGUGUAUGGAAACUUGUUCGAAGUUGUAUAUGGUCACCCGAGAUUGAAUAUAUAUUAUAUAUUUCUCUUGAAUUCUUCUUGUUUGAAAUUCCAUAUGCAUGUAUAUAGUAGCGUAGAAUAUGUGUACUGAAACUUCAUCAAAAUUAAAAUAAAACAUAAAAUAAAAUAUAAAAGAAAUAAAACACUAUAAAUUAAAAAGAAACCAGGUUUAGGGGGGCUAAAACCCUAAACCUGCGGAGGAGGCCUUUAGUCCCGGUUAGCCACGAGAACCGGGACUAAAGGUCCUCCGCCCCGACGGACUCCUGGCGCCCACGUGGACGGGCCUUUAGUCGCGGUUCGUAAGAGGCGCGACUAAAGGGGGGAGCCUUUAGUCGCGCAUAUUUAGUCCCGGUUGCACAGCCGGGAUUAAUGGCCUUUGCGAACCGGGACUAAAGGCAUAUUUUCUACUAGUGCCGCCGACACCAAAGUUUGAGCAUUUUGCUUCUUUCCUUCCUUUUUGAGGAAGAUCACCCCUCUGGGAACACGUAGUACUCUUGUGACCUGGUUCCCGGCAUAUACUACAGAAGGGAGAGUGUGUUUGCUUGUACCACAUCCGUCGGCAGCGCGUGCAUUUGCCGCCUGUUUGCCCUUUUUGCUCUUUGCACACCGAUCAUCAUAUGGAGGCUUGUCCCUGCGGUUGGUCGACCUGGCUUACGCUUCCGUUUUGGAGCUUUUAGACCCCAAAAUUACCAAUUGCACUACCUUCGGCGUUGCUUCCACACCCGCUGGAGGGUGGGUGCACUGCAAUCAGUUCUUUACCUUUUCCCAUGUUUGAAUGAAUUUUGUCUUCCAGUCCCAUUCCAUCUGUUAUAGGUGUCAGUUUAUCCAUUGCUUUUUCAAUAUAUCCAUUGCACACUCGUAUGCACUUGUAUUUGCAUCUCCCAGCCUUACAACUUCAAGGGCAUGGGUGUACAGAUUUGAGUGUCUGAAUGUUAUCGAGCUCACACAAAUUUUAUCCUUCUGAAGAUGUGCCAAGUGGUCUGGCAUCACAUCCCUUGCAUCCUUUGUCCAACGUUUCAGAACAUGCUUUGCUGGUAUCUGGUCUGUGCCGAGGAAAUCGAGGACCUGCAAAAGACAUAGUUGGUAUGCUUAAUUAUCUCGUUCAACAAAAAAAAACAGAAGAUGUCAUCAUUACAAUACAUAUUUGUAGCUUAACUGCGUGGCAGCACAACCACACAUUUUAAAAUCUGGGUUAUACUUGCAAGGCUAAGGCAAAUGUCAGUAAACAGUAAUCAGUUAAAAAGAAAUAUACACAAUCAUAUUUUGCAAAAAGUGUAGGGAAAAUGUAAAAACUUAAAUUUGGACAUGUUUUGUAAAAAGUGUAGGGAAAAUGUAAAACGGCUAUAACUUUUGCAUACGAUGUCAGAAAAAAACGUAUAAUAUAUCAAAAUGUUCGGCACGAAAAUCCGCAUCCGAUUUUGACGGCCUACGGCCGGUUUGCAAAUUUUUAGAAUCCUCAAAUUCCAAAAGGAAAAAAGUUAUGCUCAAAUUUCUGCUUUUUUUUAUUUUCGUUAAAUCUGGUCAAACUACUUAUUCAAGAAGUAUUAGUGUUACUAAAUAAUUAUUCAAGAAUAUUAGUGUUACUAAAUAAUUAUUUCAGUUUUUUUGAUUUUUUGUCAAACUGUGGUCAAACAAUGGUCAAACUACUUAUUCAAGAAAUAUUACUGUUACUAAAUAAUUAAUAUUUUUUUGAAGGGGAGCCUUGGCGUAGUGGUAAAGCUGCUGCCUUCUGACCAUGAGGUCACGGGUUCAAGUCCUGGAAACAGCCUCUUGGAGAAAUGUAGGGAAAGGCUGCGUACAAUAGACCCAAAGUGGUCGGACCCUUCCCCAGACCCUGCGCAAGCGGGAGCUACAUGCACUGAGGCUGCCCAAAUAAUUAUUGUUUUUUAGAACAAUAGUUUCAAACUCAAAUAGUGAAAUGUGUGACUUCAUGCUCAAGCUAAACUCCUGAGGGUUAAUAGGAUUGACAUCUAACUAUUGUCAGGAAAACAACAAGUGCAGACUUGGAAACGAGGGAGAAUAGAACCCGGAAGUUAAGCGUGCUCAGGCUGGGGGAGUGGGAGGAUGGGUGACCGUUUGGGAAGUUAGAUGAUUUGGAAUGAUGAGGGGUGAUUAAAGAUUAAAUUGAGCAGUGAUGAGGGGUGAUUAGAGAUUAGAGGUUAAAAUAAUUCAGAAAUUUGAAAAUCAGGAAAAAAAUUCAAAAAAAUCCUUUAGUACCGGUUGGUGUUACCAAUCGGGACUAAAGGUGGACCUCCGGGCAGCAGCCACGUGGAGGGCCUUUAGUCCCGGUUCGUAUAAGAACCGAACCGGGACUAAGGGGGGGACCUUUAGUCCCGGUUCCAGAACUGGGACUAAAGGUCCUCUAAAACCGGGACAAAAGGCCCUUUUUCUACUAAUGAUAGAAACAAAACAGAUAUAUUGUAUUAACUGGGUUCAAAAAUUGAAUAAGUUCGAAUUGAAUCUUUUUGCUACAUCAUACUGGCUGAAAAUAGUGACCACCAUCUGUAGAUUUGCAUUUUCUUAAAUCUGGAAUGACAGUUCGGCUUGCCUAUAGCUGACUCAGGGAUCUCAGCUCACUCUUUAAUUUGAGAUACCGAAACCACUUUCUAAGCACAUGGUACUGUAUUAUGAAAUAAAUGAAGGCUUGCUUGCAGUAUGACAGAAACACAGUACAAGUAAAUUUACCUCUGUAAGGAUCUUGCGCUUUAAGUGGCAGGUAAAAUCAUUGACAAGGAAUUCUUCUAGUGGCAAAGAAAAGAUCUUCUGGAACUCUUAUGUUCGUAUGGUAACCGCAUAGCAAUCAGUAUGAUGAGAUUGGCAUCAAUCAAGUCAUAAACUGAUUAUAUGAUAUCAUAUACACCUAUAUUUGGUCUGCACACUUGUGCAUUUCAAAAUUUCUCACUUAAAUUGUAGACUGAUGUUGCAUGUGACAAAAGAAACAUACUUAAUGACAAAAUAAGCAUAAAAAUUUUGGUCUUUUUGGUACAGUACACAUAUGAUUAUAUUCUUGUAGAACUUUUAGCAAGUGAACAUAUUCCAAGUUUCUAACAUUUUUUUACAUGGAUAUGAAGGAAGCUGCAAACAAAUUCAUGUACUUCCAUAGAGCAUCAUACAAUACGAAGUAAAGCAUAAAUCCUAUUUGAGGUAACCAAACACAUAAUAAAGUUCUUGGAAAUACCUUUCAAAUAAUUGAUAUCGCCAAAUGAAGAAAAUGAGGACGGAGGAGGGCGGCCGUUGGUGCUGCUGCUUUGCGCCCUUGCAGUCGAAUUGGGGGAGCACGGCGAGAGAAAGAAUGUGGUUGGGGUGUGCUUCACUGGGUGGCACGAGCAGAAGGCAUGUUAGCGACCUUGCGACCAUAAUGAUGUCAAGCUGAGAGAGACAGGGAGAGACACACAGACCUGGUAACGCCACCCUCCUUCAGUGCCUUCUCCAAGGCGUCACGGCCCUGUUGUGCGGAUGCUCGCGACGGGAUCGGGAAUGAGAAGACGGCCUCGUCCAACAAGGGGACGCGAUCCUCCUUGUGCCUCCUCGAGGAUGGCGCGGCCCUCUUGUGUGGACGCUCGUGACGGGAUCGAGAAUGAGGAGACGGCCUCGUCCAACAAGGCAGCGCAGCCCUCCUUGUGCCUCCUCGAGGACAGCGCGGCCCUACCUCUGCAGCUGCUCAUGACAAGGUAGAGGAUGGACGUGAUGGCCCCAUCCGAUGGAAGGCCGGGUCAACGAAAAUGUCCCUCCGGUGGGAUGAAAUUAUGAGUGGUGGCACCGCGUGAUCCUGGCCAUCCAGCGAAACGAUCUUACGACCACCAGUGCAAAUGCCCUGAGAAGUUUCCCACUCCCGCAUGAAUCAAGAAUUGAGAUUGGUCAUGUUAUAGAAUAGUAUGGGGAUCGGAUUCAUGAUACAAAGAAGUUUCAGUUUGGCACUUAAUCUCUGUCGUAUAAGUGUAUUUUUGCGUAAACCACUUCAAAAAAACUUACUCCCUCUGUCCCAAAAUUCUUGUUUUAGAUUUGUCUACAUACGGAUAUAUCUAUUCACAUUUUUAGCGUUAGAUACAUCCGUAUCUAGAUAAAUCUAAGACAAGAAUUUUGGGACGGAGGGAGUACUAUCUUUGCUCGCUUAUGUACCAGCCAUUGUCUUUUGACCAAAGCAAUCUUAUCAUUACAGGGCACCUACAUCGGCAAGACCGUGUGUUCCCUUCGGGAUCCCCUACAAAUGGUUGCAACAGAUAAAAAUGUGUCAGCUAUUUUCUUUUUCUUUUUUUUUUAUUAGCACAAGCAUAAGUCUGAUACAUUAGCUGAUCUGUUAUGCCGACAGCGAACCAAAAAUUAUACUAACCGAGCCGCUGCAGACUAUCUCUUGCAAUCAUUUUGUUCUCUCUACGUUGAGUCUGCUCUUCCCAUAUCUAAUUCCGAACCAAAUUUCCAAGGAAUACAGAUUGUAAUAGUCAUUUGCUUCUCCGAGCGAAUCAAAGUUGUUUCUGAGAGUGGAGUGAUGGCACUUCUUGUGUAAUAGAUCUGAAGGAGACAUGAAAGACUCCCCCUCUCGCGACCGCGUCGCCCCCGCGGGCGACCGGUCGCGCCCCGAUUCCCCUUCCGCCAACUCUCCCUCUCGCCCCCUUCCCUGCCGCCGUCGUCGGCGUUCGCCGCCAGGCCUGGCCCGGGCGGCACUGGUGGCGGCGGCCCUCGGCCAUUCCCCUCUCGGUUGGUCUUCGGCGCGGGGCGGAGGGCGCCGAGGGGUGCUCCCUAGGCGGCGGCGGUCCAGCGUGGUAGCGGGGCUUCCUGGCGCGGCGCGGGAGAUCGGCUGGACGGCGGCGCCCGCUCGGCCCAGAUCUGGGCCCUUCGGGCCCCAUCUGGGUCUGGGCGGGCCGACGGCGGGGCGGGUCGGUGGCGUGGCUUUCAGGAGGCGAGGGAGCGGCGAUGGGCGUUGGGGUGCUGGCGCCGCCCUGCUGUAGCGUGGCCGGCGGGGCUUAGCGGGCUCGAUUCGGGCCUGGCCGGGCCAGGGGUGGCCUGGUAUGCCCUGCUACUGCGUCCGGACGGCGACCGCGACGGUGCCGGAGGCACGAGCCUCCUGCACGACAGCGGAGGAGGUGGUUCCCUCCUGCGCGGCUACGACACUGCUGCUCCCGUCGACCAACGCCUCCUCUCCUCGUCUCUUGGCCUCGUGGUGGUGAUCUCAGUGAGGCGGUGUGGGUGGCGUUGCGACCGCGGUGGCGCGUGGGUGGGCGGCGAGUUGGCUGGUUGGCUCCGAUCCGGUUGGGCGGUGGGUUUGGAGUUCGGAGAAAUCCUUGCCGGGUCUUCCGGCUCCGAUGCGGUGACGCCUGCGGGUGCCAUCAUUCCUCCCUGGAGGAUGCCGGUGGUCUUCGUUCCGUCGUCGCAUUCCUUCCUGGAGGUGCUGCUUGGUACAUGGAGGAUCAGAGCCUAGGAUCGUAGUGUGUGGAUUUCGGAGGGCGCAGCGGUAGUGGGUCAUCCGCGCUUUGUCGAGCUGCCGGUGUUGGCAUUGUUUCUUCUUCUUUUUCUUUGGCUUGUUGUGCUGCUCGCGACAGCGUUUGCUCUGUGAUCGGUGUUGGUGCUUUGGAAUACAAAGCGGGGGAAACCCUUUUUCGGUAAGUUGUUUCUGAUUGCAGGAACUACGAUAGUGUCAGUCUUCUUCUCUGCCUAACCUCUCAAUGUUUUCUCCAGGGCACUUAUUCUGCUAGCACAGAGCAGACGUUCAACAUAAUUUAAAAAAGGAUUAAUUACGACAUAAUCAAAAGAAAAAUUGUUUUUGUUAACUAUGAUUAUACGAAAUGCAUGCGCCGCACCACAACAUCGAUUAAUAUGAUUCAGCACAAUUUUUCAGCUUGUGAACUAAAAUUAAGGACAAUUGAUCGCCCAACACAGAAACGCGUCUACAUACCUCUUCGUCCAGCCCGGCGCCUGAGGAUCGUCCUUGCCCGUUGACUGCUCUGAGUUGGGCGCCGACAAGCUGAGCCCCUCGCAAGUGCUGUUCAAAUCUAAUUGUAUUGUCACCGCGGCAUCGCCCACAUCAAUAAUGCCGGAUUGGGCGGUUGCACAGACAGAGUUCGGUUGUCUUGACCGUCCAGUAUGGUCUCGCUGGCGCCAAGAUCCAGCAGGGGAAACCUGUGCAAAGCAGGGAGCAGACUACGUACUAAGGUGCGCGCCUAGCCACAGCGGCUAUCAGUACACAACAAAGGCGGCGGCACGAAACGUACCUGUCGACCGGAUCUGGUACUCGAACCCAUUGCCUCGCGCGUCCGCCGUCGCCAUAGCUCUGAGUUGCGGCGGCCGACGCGAUAGAUUUCUUUUCUUUUUUUACUAAACGUCGGGCAGGGUGGGAGGUGGACCCGCGGUGUCACAGAUGCAUCCGUUACGCAGCUACAGUUUGUGUGACGGACCUCACGGGCGUCAAUCGUUAUGGACUGCCAGUCACGUCCUGUACCAACGGAACCUAUGCACAAGCUGUCUUCAUAUGCACAACUGUACGAUACUGUUGGAUGCCACCCUUUCCCUCCUCUCUACGAUCUCAUUGAAUGUACGUACAGACGCGUCCUUGGCCCAUUGGUUAGCGAAGCGGGAGCAGGCGAGCUCGUCCGCUCUAUCGCCGCUCUCGUACCCGAGUUGUACCCCAGUUAUAUUGUUUGUUUUGAUUGACCACACCAGUAAUUUAUGACGGUAGCUUUUAAUAUAUGCUUAUGUUCUACUUCUAUAUCAGUCCAGUGUAGACUUUUCACGUUACGUCAUAUCAUCAUCAAAACACACCAGAGAGAUUCAUAAAAUUCUCAGGGAAAAGAUUUGGAAGAUAAUAACCAUAUAUGUACUAAUUACGGAUUCAUAAAAUUCUCAGGGAAAUUAUUUGCGGCUAUUUGGAAGAUAAUAAACUACACUGAGCAAAUCUCAAACUAGGCGAGCUGUAUGUAUCAGCAUCACAAUACUCAAGUGGAGUAUGGUUUUAAGUUGAUCAUCAGCUUCAUCAAGAUCAAAUUCCACCGAGUUUGUUGAUCUGGCUACCAUGGUGGAGAAGAUCACAAGUGUCAGUUUUUGAAGGGCCCUGAUCUAGUAGGGAGUUUGCGUCAUUGCUCAGCGAUGCAUCGGCCUGCUGCACCAACCAAUGAUGUGCUUGGGGAUCAAUAUUGUGCUGAAAGUCUGAAUAGAAGAUGAUGUCCUCGAGGCCGCCGUCACUACACAAAGGAACACAUGAUUAGAAUGCUAACACAUCCUAUUUACCGUAAACUGUCACUUGCAUGUUGUUCCGAUGAAGACCGUGGAGCAGGUGUAAACACAUCACAAAGAAGACUAUCACGACAAACUGUUAUUUUAAGAAAGGGACGUCCAUAAAAGUUUGUCGCGGCAAAGUCUGGUAAACUGGAUCAUAAUUUGGCAUCAAUUGGGAUUUUUGUUGGUAACAAUAGCCCAUCUUCAUUGCUCCUCCUCUUCAUAUUGUUGCCAUAACUUACCAAUUCGAUUCUUCUUUUUUUGAAAUUUCACUCCGCUCGGCAUAGCAGUAGCGCAAGAGUAGAUGGCAUUUGACAAGGAUGUUGAAAAUAGAACUCACCCCAGGGCUUGAGUUGGUGGACCAAGAUCAACAUCCAUGUGACUCAAUUCGCUGGGAUGUGGAUAUCAUCCAUGAUGCUUGUUUCUGUCAACUGAGAAGCCAUGUCGUCGUUGAUGAUUGCGGACGAUCCAUUCGAACGGGCAAGUGUUUCACCGGAGCCGCCAGAUGUUCCUUCAGGACUGUCACUAUGUGCUUGUUGAGCCGCUGGCAAUUGAUCAUGCAAGAACACGACUGAGCAUAAAUGUAUAAAUGCUAUAAAUAAAGGGAUAAGUAUAUUUUUCGUCCUCGAACUCUUCCGAGAGUUUAGAAAUCGUCCCUCAACUCUAAACCGGAGAGUUUUCGUCCCUCAACUAUCAAAACCGGAUAGUUUUCGUCCCUCGUGCCGCUUCGCGCGGUUUUAGUCCGGGAUGAACAGUGAAUCAGUGAACAAUAAAAUCGAAAAAAUAGCAAAAAAAAUCUAAAAUUUUACAGCACCGAAGAUAAUCUAGUGCGCAAGACCCGUGCAAAAUUUCGUGGUGUUUCGACAUUCAAGCAGCUCCUGGCAAACAAAAAACUGUAAAUAUGUACGUUGGUGCACAGUAAAUUAAAAAAAUAGCAAAAAAAAAUUCAAAAAAACAUGAAACAUUUUGGCAUAAAAAAUGCUCGGGUACGCAAGCUGCAUGCAAAAUUUUGUGAUCAAAUGACAUACGAGGAGCUCUAGCAAAAAAAACACAAAAUAGCGCACUUUUUACAAAAAAAUUCUGAGCCAAAUUUUGUUUCUUUUUGUCACGAGUUCGUACAAUACCCAAACAUCACAAAAAUUUGCACGCACGUUGGGCACCCAAGCCUCUUUUAUGCCAAAAAAAUUCAUACCGCUUUGAAUUUUUUUGCUAUUUAUUUUGAAUUUACUGUUCACUGACGUACAAAUUUAUAGUUUUUUAUUUGCCAAAAGCUGCUCAAAUAUCAAAACACCACAAAAUUUUGCACGUGUCUUAUGCACCAAAGUAUCUUCGAUGCUCUAAAUUUUCAGAUUUUUUUGAUUUUUGUUGCUAUUUUUUUUAUUUUACUGUUCACCCCGGACUAAAACCGCCCGAAGCGGCACGAGGGACGAAAACUAUCUGGUUUUGAUAGUUGAGGGACGAAAAUUCUCCGGUUUAGAGUUGAGGGACGAUUUCUAAACUCUGGGAAGAGUUCGAGGAAGAAAAUUAUACUUAACCCAUAAAUAAAAUAAAUGAAAGUAGAAAGAAUAGAUGUGUGGCGAUCGAUGCAC